UACGAAGGGUGCAAGCGUUACUCGGAAUCACUGGGCGUAAAGCGUGCGUAGGCGGUUUCUUAAGUCUGUCGUGAAAGCCCUGGGCUCAACCUGGGAAUGGCGAUGGAUACUGGGAGGCUAGAGUGUGAUAGAGGAUGGUGGAAUUCCCGGUGUAGCGGUGAAAUGCGUAGAGAUCGGGAGGAACACCUGUGGCGAAAGCGGCUCACUGGACCAUUACUGACGCUGAUGCACGAAAGCUAGGGGAGCAAACAGG
rnacentral:rRNA from 1 species